rnacentral:rRNA from 1 species
UACGUAGGUGGCAAGCGUUGUCCGGAUUUAUUGGGUUUAAAGGGUGCGUAGGCGGUCUUAUAAGUCAGUGCUGAAAUAUCCCGGCUUAACCGGGAGGGUGGCAUUGAUACUGUAGGACUUGAGUAGAGUUGAGGUUGGCGGAAUUGACGGUGUAGCGGUGAAAUGCUUAGAUAUCGUCAAGAACACCGAUAGUGAAGACAGCUAACUAAGCUCUAACUGACGCUGAGGCACGAAAGUGUGGGGGAUCAAACAGG